UGCAACCUGAGCUCAGGCGUGACUACCCGCCGAACUUAAGCAUAUCAUUUA
rnacentral:rRNA from 1 species